GUCACAGUGGAGACAUUCUGGCAUGUGGGAAGGCUGGGGAGGAGGUCAUGCCCAGGGUGCCUGUGGUACCUACCACCUAUAGCAUAUGCUGCUGAACAGCUACUCUGAUUUGAUGUCUUCUUUGACCUAGUCACAGAGAAGAGUUUCUCUGAAACUGGGGAUGGUAGCCUCACCUCCUCCCGUUGUAUCUGGCUGUCUCCAGGGAUAUUUCUCCUUUCAAGCACUUAUGAUCCCUUCUGUGCUUUGAAGUAGGGACAGGUCUCCUUCCAGGGAACCCAAGAUGGUACAGAAGCUGGUUGUCAAAUUCAAUCUCAGUUUUACAAGUGGAGAAACCCUACCCUGCAGCAGACCUGCCACCCACCACCGUCCGCCCUAGGAGCUCUAGCAGACGCCCUUAGCUGAAACUUCAGGCCUCCAUGCUGCAACCAAAUAUUCAAGUGCUUUACAACAAAAGGCAGACACAACAAAGUCAUUAAAAGGUAAUCUGCACCCUGUUUCCUGAAGCUUGGCGUUCUCAGCGGCCCCCUCUCAGCCUGUACUUGCGAAAGAUGCCGACCUCAUCUGGGUUGAAGUAACCAAGGAGACCAAAAUGAUUCCUGCAAAAUGACUGAGUGACACUUUCAGAGAUGCAAUCCUAGUUCCUUUCUAAGAAGGCUGUAUAAAUUAUAGGUUGGAGGGUCAGAAGGCCGAUUUCCAAAAUGCUUGAGAGGUAGAGAGUGGUGUGUAGGGGUGAGGAAUGAGGAAGGUGAGAGGAAUCUGAGUGGGCCGCCACCCCCUUUCAUUCCUUUCCACUGUACGUACCCGCAGGGAAGUCCACCUGCUGCUCCUCCCCUGUCCCCAUGACCUAGCGGCAGUGGUUUGACCAUAGCCUCUCUCGAGAAUAGCACCUUUUGGUGUGAAACAGGUGAGACUCCAGAUUCCUGUUGAUUCUAAAAAUCGUUAAUGGCCUUCUGUAAUCAUCA